UACGGAGGGUGCAAGCGUUAAUCGGAAUUACUGGGCGUAAAGCGCACGCAGGCGGUCUGUCCAGUCGGAUGUGAAAUCCCCGGGCUCAACCUGGGAACUGCAUCCGAAACUGGCAGGCUUGAGUCUCGUAGAGGGGGGUAGAAUUCGAGAAGUAGCGGUGAAAUGCGUAGAGAUCUCGAAGAAUACCGGUGGCGAAGGCGGCCCCCUGGACGAAGACUGACGCUCAGGUGCGAAAGCGUGGGGAGCAAACAGG
rnacentral:rRNA from 1 species